rnacentral:lncRNA from 1 species
AAGAAGUCAGGCCAAAUUAAGCCAUAGUACGGAAGGAGCUAUGCUGCCUGUGAGCCCCGUCCAAGGACGUAAAAUGAAGUCAGGCCGAAAGCCACGGAUUGAGCAAGCCGUGCUGCCUGUGGCUCCAU